AUGCGUAUAUCUCUCUCUGUGAAGGUAUGCAUACGAUUCGUGUUGCUGCUUUGUUUCUGUUUAAUUAAUCUGUUUGUUAUUUUUCAAUUGAAGUAAAGUUUAGGUCUUUCUUUACUUGGGGAAUUAGAGGAACGAGGGAAGAACCGAAAUUUAAAUACAUGAUUUUGACAUUCAACAUAAUUUUUUUUAGUGUUGAAAGCUACUUGAUAUUUCAGUUAAACAAUUAAUUAAUAGAUUAAUGUGUUCUGAAUUAUUUGAUUUUUGUUUUUACAAUGUAGAUAGGCAAAUGCAGAUUCUGUUGCUGCUUCAGAAACAGCAACCGCCAUGUGAGAUGGAAGGGAGGGAUAUGAGGAAUUCUGAGGAGCUGAGUGCCCUUGGUGUCAAAGAUGAAGAUUUGAUACUGAUAGUAUGCAAUGCUGCUUAA
rnacentral:lncRNA from 1 species